rnacentral:rRNA from 1 species
UGCUAAUCUGCGAUAAGCGUCGGUAAGGUGAUAUGAACCGUUAUAACCGGCGAUUUCCGAAUGGGGAAACCCAGUGUGUUUCGACACACUAUCAUUAACUGAAUCCAUAGGUUAAUGAGGCGAACCGGGGGAACUGAAACAUCUAAGUACCCCGAGGAAAAGAAAUCAACCGAGAUUCCCCCAGUAGCGGCGAGCGAACGGGGAGCAGCCCAGAGCCUGAAUCAGUGUGUGUGUUAGUGGAAGCGUCUGGAAAGGCGCGCGAUACAGGGUGACAGCCCCGUACACAAAAAUGCACAUAUUGUGAGCUCGAUGAGUAGGGCGGGACACGUGGUAUCCUGUCUGAAUAUGGGGGGACCAUCCUCCAAGGCUAAAUACUCCUGACUGACCGAUAGUGAACCAGUACCGUGAGGGAAAGGCGAAAAGAACCCCGGCGAGGGGAGUGAAAAAGAACCUGAAACCGUGUACGUACAAGCAGUGGGAGCCUCUUUUAUGGGGUGACUGCGUACCUUUUGUAUAAUGGGUCAGCGACUUAUAUUCUGUAGCAAGGUUAACCGAAUAGGGGAGCCGAAGGGAAACCGAGUCUUAACUGGGCGUUAAGUUGCAGGGUAUAGACCCGAAACCCGGUGAUCUAGCCAUGGGCAGGUUGAAGGUUGGGUAACACUAACUGGAGGACCGAACCGACUAAUGUUGAAAAAUUAGCGGAUGACUUGUGGCUGGGGGUGAAAGGCCAAUCAAACCGGGAGAUAGCUGGUUCUCCCCGAAAGCUAUUUAGGUAGCGCCUCGUGAAUUCAUCUCCGGGGGUAGAGCACUGUUUCGGCAAGGGGGUCAUCCCGACUUACCAACCCGAUGCAAACUGCGAAUACCGGAGAAUGUUAUCACGGGAGACACACGGCGGGUGCUAACGUCCGUCGUGAAGAGGGAAACAACCCAGACCGCCAGCUAAGGUCCCAAAGUCAUGGUUAAGUGGGAAACGAUGUGGGAAGGCCCAGACAGCCAGGAUGUUGGCUUAGAAGCAGCCAUCAUUUAAAGAAAGCGUAAUAGCUCACUGGUCGAGUCGGCCUGCGCGGAAGAUGUAACGGGGCUAAACCAUGCACCGAAGCUGCGGCAGCGACGCUUAUGCGUUGUUGGGUAGGGGAGCGUUCUGUAAGCCUGUGAAGGUGUGCUGUGAGGCAUGCUGGAGGUAUCAGAAGUGCGAAUGCUGACAUAAGUAACGAUAAAGCGGGUGAAAAGCCCGCUCGCCGGAAGACCAAGGGUUCCUGUCCAACGUUAAUCGGGGCAGGGUGAGUCGACCCCUAAGGCGAGGCCGAAAGGCGUAGUCGAUGGGAAACAGGUUAAUAUUCCUGUACUUGGUGUUACUGCGAAGGGGGGACGGAGAAGGCUAUGUUGGCCGGGCGACGGUUGUCCCGGUUUAAGCGUGUAGGCUGGUUUUCCAGGCAAAUCCGGAAAAUCAAGGCUGAGGCGUGAUGACGAGGCACUACGGUGCUGAAGCAACAAAUGCCCUGCUUCCAGGAAAAGCCUCUAAGCAUCAGGUAACAUCAAAUCGUACCCCAAACCGACACAGGUGGUCAGGUAGAGAAUACCAAGGCGCUUGAGAGAACUCGGGUGAAGGAACUAGGCAAAAUGGUGCCGUAACUUCGGGAGAAGGCACGCUGAUAUGUAGGUGAAGUCCCUCGCGGAUGGAGCUGAAAUCAGUCGAAGAUACCAGCUGGCUGCAACUGUUUAUUAAAAACACAGCACUGUGCAAACACGAAAGUGGACGUAUACGGUGUGACGCCUGCCCGGUGCCGGAAGGUUAAUUGAUGGGGUUAGCGCAAGCGAAGCUCUUGAUCGAAGCCCCGGUAAACGGCGGCCGUAACUAUAACGGUCCUAAGGUAGCGAAAUUCCUUGUCGGGUAAGUUCCGACCUGCACGAAUGGCGUAAUGAUGGCCAGGCUGUCUCCACCCGAGACUCAGUGAAAUUGAACUCGCUGUGAAGAUGCAGUGUACCCGCGGCAAGACGGAAAGACCCCGUGAACCUUUACUAUAGCUUGACACUGAACAUUGAGCCUUGAUGUGUAGGAUAGGUGGGAGGCUUAGAAGUGUGGACGCCAGUCUGCAUGGAGCCGACCUUGAAAUACCACCCUUUAAUGUUUGAUGUUCUAACGUGGACCCGUAAUCCGGGUUGCGGACAGUGUCUGGUGGGUAGUUUGACUGGGGCGGUCUCCUCCUAAAGAGUAACGGAGGAGCACGAAGGUUGGCUAAUCCUGGUCGGACAUCAGGAGGUUAGUGCAAUGGCAUAAGCCAGCUUGACUGCGAGCGUGACGGCGCGAGCAGGUGCGAAAGCAGGUCAUAGUGAUCCGGUGGUUCUGAAUGGAAGGGCCAUCGCUCAACGGAUAAAAGGUACUCCGGGGAUAACAGGCUGAUACCGCCCAAGAGUUCAUAUCGACGGCGGUGUUUGGCACCUCGAUGUCGGCUCAUCACAUCCUGGGGCUGAAGUAGGUCCCAAGGGUAUGGCUGUUCGCCAUUUAAAGUGGUACGCGAGCUGGGUUUAGAACGUCGUGAGACAGUUCGGUCCCUAUCUGCCGUGGGCGCUGGAGAACUGAGGGGGGCUGCUCCUAGUACGAGAGGACCGGAGUGGACGCAUCACUGGUGUUCGGGUUGUCAUGCCAAUGGCACUGCCCGGUAGCUAAAUGCGGAAGAGAUAAGUGCUGAAAGCAUCUAAGCACGAAACUUGCCCCGAGAUGAGUUCUCCCUGACCCUUUAAGGGUCCUGAAGGAACGUUGAAGACGACGACGUUGAUAGGCCGGGUGUGUAAGCGCAGCGAUGCGUUGAGCUAACCGGUACUAAUGAACCGUGAGGCUUAACCUUACAAC